GCCUCCCCUUUCUAACGUUGUUCGGAAUCACUGGGCUUAAAGGGCGCGUAGGCGGCUUCGCAAGUCCGGGGUGAAAGCCCCCAGCUUAACUGGGGAAGUGCCUCGGAUACUGCGGAGCUCGAGGGAGGUAGGGGCGGAUGGAACUUCCGGUGGAGCGGUGAAAUGCGUUGAUAUCGGAAGGAACGCCGGUGGCGAAAGCGAUCCGCUGGCCCUCUACUGACGCUGAGGCGCGAAAGCCAGGGGAGCAAACGGG
rnacentral:rRNA from 1 species